UGGGGGAUAUUGCACAAUGGAGGAAACUCUGAUGCAGCAACGCCGCGUGAGGGAAGACGGUUUUCGGAUUGUAAACCUCUGUCCUUAGGGAAGAUAAUGACGGUACCUAAGGAGGAAGCUCCGGCUAACUACGUGCCAGCAGCCGCGGUAAUACGUAGGGAGCAAGCGUUGUCCGGAUUUACUGGGUGUAAAGGGUGCGUAGGCGGCUUAGCAAGUCAGGCGUGAAAUAUAUGGGCUUAACCCAUAGACUGCGUUUGAAACUGUUGAGCUUGAGUGAAGUAGAGGUAGGCGGAAUUCCCGGUGUAGCGGUGAAAUGCGUAGAGAUCGGGAGGAACACCAGUGGCGAAGGCGGCCUACUGGGCUUUAACUGACGCUGAGGCACGAAAGCAUGGGUAGCAAACAGG
rnacentral:rRNA from 2 species